CAUGAGGACCUUCUGAGUUCCCCAAGAGGAAAUAAAUUUAUCCACUUUCUGCCCUGGCUGGUUUCCUUGCUCUGUUUCUAAUCUGUGCUGAAUCUCCCAGGAUUUUCCCUCCUCAUGACUCCUGGACACAUUCCUUUUCAAUCUUUGCGAUAAUGCUUCACUCUUUAGCCUCUUGCUC